UUACGGCCAUAUCACGUGAAAACACCGGUUUCCGUGGGAUCACCAAGGUUAAGAAACGUUGAGCCUGGUCAGUACCUAGAUGGGUGACCACUUGGGGAUACCAGGUGCUGUAAGC